GCAGCCACUCAUUCAAAGAGUGCGUAAUAGCUCACUGGUCGAGUGAUCCUGCGCCGAAGAUUUCCGGGGCUAAAACUUACUACCGAAGCUACGGCAUCAGUAAUGAUGGGUAGGGGAGCUUCCCAUACGGGUUGAAGCAUGACCGUAAGGACAUGUGGACAGGAUGGGAGUGAGAAUGUUGGCAUGAGUAGCGAGAUGUGGGUGAGAAUCCCACAGGCCGUAAACCCAAGGUU
rnacentral:rRNA from 1 species